CCUACGGGUGGCAGCAGUGAGGAAUAUUGGUCAAUGGGCGCAAGCCUGAACCAGCCAGGUAGCGUGAAGGAUGACUGCCCUCCGGGUUGUAAACUUCUUUUAUACGGGAAUAAAGUGCGGCACGUGUGCAUGUUUGCCGGUCCUUCAUGAAUACGGACCGGCUAAUUCCGUGCCAGCAGCCGCGGUAAUACGGAGGGUCCGAGCGUUAGCCGGAUUUAUUGGGUUUAAAGGGAGCGUAGAUGGGUUGGUAAGUCAGUGGUGAAAGUUUGCGGCUCAACCAGGAGAGUGCGGUUGAUACUGGGAGGCGUGAGUGCAGGAGAGGGAGGCGGAAUGCGUGGUGUAGCGGUGAAAUGCGUAGAUAGCAGGAAGAACACCGAUGGCGAAGGCAGCCUGCUGGACUGCAACUGACGUUGAGGCUCGAAAGUGUGGGGAGCAAACAGGAUUAGAUACCCUGGUAGUC
rnacentral:rRNA from 1 species